UUAGCUAUUUUAGGUAGGUUUGUAGUCAUGUUACUCAUGGAUGCAAACACAAACACUGUUUGUAUCUAUGAUGGCUAGGGAAUUUUAAGUUGACCAAAUUCGCCACAUAGAUUCGUAAGAAAAUCUAUUGUGGCUUUUAUA
rnacentral:ncRNA from 1 species